rnacentral:lncRNA from 1 species
CUCCAAACAAGACCCUCCGACACCGGACCUGGCACUGAUUAACUCACAACCUCCAAAGCCGAAAUAAAAAGAAGGUGAUAAGUAUGUUUUUACACGCUGAUUUGGUUCACAAACAUGACUUAAACAUGAAUAAAAUGGUUGAAUUGUGACUUAAUCGAGUUAAAUUCAUGCAUUGUAGGUAAUUCAAUGGAAAUUGUGGAAUUUAGGAGAAAAGAGCUGAAGAAGGACCAAAACGCAACAAAUUGAUAGUUCGAGGACCAAAGGUGCAAAUAUUGAGAAGUUGAGCUAAAUGCAAAACGAGAGUAAAAACAUGCCAAGUAUGAGCUCAAUGACAAAGAAAAACAAUUGGAAGAAGAAAGAAGUGAAAAGGGACUGAAUUUAAGACAAUUGAAAGAUGGAGGACUAAAGGUGCAAAUACUCAAAGGAUGUGCCGAAUGAGUGGCAUGAGAUUUGAUGGUGUCAAUCAUCAAUUGGAAGAUAAAAUUUGUUGAAAAGAUGAAGAAAUCGAAGAAAGAAGUCAAGAGAAGCAACAAGAAAGUUCAGGGAUCAAAAUGUAAGGACUACAUAGUUGGUUAUAUCUAUGCGACCGCAUAGUGUAACAAAAUGUAAGGACUACAUAGUUGGUUAUAUCUAUGGGACCGCAUAGUGUAACCAUCUAUGCGGUCGCAUAGAAGGUUGCAGGGCAUUCUAGAGGAAAAUUUAUUGUUCUAUGCGACCGCAUAGAAACCUUCUAUGCAGUCGCAUAGUUAUACUUCGGGGGCCUCAGUUGCAGUUUUUUGUUAUCGUUGAAACUCUUUUCCUACUUGAUUUUGACGCAAUAUAAAUACCAAAAAUCAUCAAAUUGAAGGGGGGAACGACCAGAGAGACGAAUUUGAAGGCAAGAAACACAAUCUUGGGCUUGAUUUCACAAGGAUUCAAGAAGGAAUUGAAGAUUACACACAAAAUUGAAGGAUUAUCAUACGGGUGUAUUCUUUAUAUCUUUUAAUUUCGUUUUAAUUCUUGAUUCUGUAAUUAUGAUCAUAGGCUAGGGUUUUUAUUCAUUAAGAAAUCGAUGAACCUUUGAUUAUUUAAUUUCCUUUAUUUCAUGAAUUCAAUAUAAAGUUUCAGUUGGACAAUUGUUUGAUUUAUAUGAUUUGAUUGCUUCCAUAAUUAUUGGCCAUAUGUUAUGUGAGUUUAGAUGAUUUAUUCUUUGCAUUCGAAAGAAGGGGAAUAGAUUCGAUAUAAUAUAAAUUAACAUAGGGUUCGAUAGGGGAUAGAAAUAUACCCCUAUGCUUUGUGCAAUUCAUAAGGUGUUCAUAAAAAUUCAUGCAUUCUUGUAUAUUUGCAUCAUCCAUAGAAAUAUAGGCUGGUGGUGUGCAAGAGUAGAUUCAAUAUAUAUCGAGAGAGUAUAUUGGAUAGGUUUAGGAACAUUGAAUUGGCAUUUUUCCAUUGAUUCGUUGAAUUUGUGAAAUUAGGGUUUUUAAUAGUCAAUUGGGGAUUCGAGAUCCUAAUGAUUGCAUUUCAAUUUAUUUCUAUACCUUAAAUUCCAAAAUUGCGUAUUUACAUUUUAAUUGAGUUUUUGAGUCAUUCAAUUAGUGAAAUUUCGAAAUUAGGGUUUCCAAUUUCGAAAUUAGGGUUUUCUUUAAAAAUUAGGGUUUCAAAUUGGGGAUUUCUCCCAUAAUUAGGGAUUUUCACAUUUAAACCAAAUUUUCAUUCAAUUAGAUUCGGUUAAGGUCACAUUAGUCUAAUUAGAGCUAAUUCAAUCCUCGUGGGAACGAUACUUGGACUCAUAGUCCAUUUUACUACUUGUUAACGAACCGUACAUUUGCGGUGGGUUUUAAAAUUGAAAGAAAAUUUCGCGAACAGAAGGCGUUUGUACCGGUCAUUGGUCGCUGCACCAGACCUGUCCUCGUCUUUGUCACUGGAAGUAAGUUCAAAUAUGUGGGUUUUCGAAGGAUUGACUGUAGCGUUUAAAUUUUGGGGGUUUCAUUUUUGUUUUCUCAUUUCGUAGCCAGUAGCAGUUGUUGGGUCGAACGAAGAUUUUUUACCUUAUUUUCUCCUACGUGGUGUGGUUGUAAACUAGAUUAAACACUUGAAAUUUGUGUUGCAAACUCCGAAAUGAUUCUGUGGCUACUUAUUUGUAUUCUGUAAUCCCAAAAGAGCAUGAAGUUAGUCACUUUUUGUUUUUGUUUUUUUACAUGACUUCGAAUUGCUGAAGGAAUUUCGUUCAGGAAUGCCGUGCCCGUAAGUUUACCUUCACAAAUUGAAAAUAGUUUUGUUUCAGUUUCUAUUUUUGAACUCAAUAAAUGUUGAAAUUUUGAUUUUUUUUUCAUUAUGAUGAUUGGUGUGUGAUAUGGAUGUCUGGAAUAUAUACAGAAAGCAAUAAGAUUGCUUAAAUGGAUGUGAGCUCUUAUUCCUAAAUUGGUUUUGAUGUGUCGUGGUUUAUUUUCAGCUUACGAUUGCAGGAAAGACCCAGGGAGUAUGUCAUAGUUGUAGAGGAAAGGGGCAUUUUUUUGCUGACUAUUCAGAGAAACGCCAUUGCCCAUGGUGCAAGGAUGCAUUCGUCAAGUGUUUUGAGGUGGAGAAAGAGAGCAAAAACAAAGGUAGAUUAUUCAAUAUGUGUACUGCAAAAUGUGAAAAUUGGGAGUGGGUCAAAGAUGGCGAGACUAGCGGCAAAUCAGUGCAGUCAGAGUAAGUUCAAUAAAUUAUGUGACGAGCAAAGGAGUUGAAGAACUGUCUUGCACAUUUCAAUCUCAAUGUCAACUAUUUGAUCAACGUGAUGUGGACAUGUUUCUUAACGUUAUAAUACACAAAGGAAGAGCAAAAAAUAGUAAAUGAUUUUCCAUUAUUUGGAGUGCA